rnacentral:rRNA from 1 species
GGCGGACCGGUGAGUAAAGCCUAGGAAUCUGCCUGGUAGUGGGGGAUAACGCUCGGAAACGGACGCUAAUACCGCAUACGUCCUACGGGAGAAAGCAGGGGACCUUCGGGCCUUGCGCUAUCAGAUGAGCCUAGGUCGGAUUAGCUAGUUGGUGAGGUAAUGGCUCACCAAGGCGACGAUCCGUAACUGGUCUGAGAGGAUGAUCAGUCACACUGGAACUGAGACACGGUCCAGACUCCUACGGGAGGCAGCAGUGGGGAAUAUUGGACAAUGGGCGAAAGCCUGAUCCAGCCAUGCCGCGUGUGUGAAGAAGGUCUUCGGAUUGUAAAGCACUUUAAGUUGGGAGGAAGGGCAUUAACCUAAUACGUUAGUGUUUUGACGUUACCGACAGAAUAAGCACCGGCUAACUCUGUGCCAGCAGCCGCGGUAAUACAGAGGGUGCAAGCGUUAAUCGGAAUUACUGGGCGUAAAGCGCGCGUAGGUGGUUCGUUAAGUUGGAUGUGAAAUCCCCGGGCUCAACCUGGGAACUGCAUUCAAAACUGUCGAGCUAGAGUAUGGUAGAGGGUGGUGGAAUUUCCUGUGUAGCGGUGAAAUGCGUAGAUAUAGGAAGGAACACGAGUGGCGAAAGGCGACCACCCUGGACUGAUACUUGACACUG